AGGCUGUUUUUGAUGGGGUCGGGAACGGGAAAGACAGGAGGAGUGAGACACGGGAAUCUGGAGUUUACCGGAUCCCGGUGGAGCGAAGCGACACGGGUCGGGUGGCAUCAUACAUUGGGGUCGCGAGUGGAACGCUGGACCACAGAGUUGGGGAGCACCGACGGGACGUCGCCCAGGGCGGCACAGGCGCAGCCCUGGCUGGGGCGGCCUGUACGGAUGGCAUGGCAGUCAAAUGGAGUGGGGCAGGGGUCGUAACACCAGUGCUCCGGGGGGCGCAGGCGUUGUUGGAGGAGGGAUUGCAG
rnacentral:lncRNA from 1 species